rnacentral:rRNA from 1 species
GUCUUUUUGAUAAUAAUUUAAAGUCUAAUCUGCCCACUGAUAUAAAUAUAUUAAAGGGCUGCAGUAUAUUGACUGUACAAAGGUAGCAUAAUCAUUAGUCUUUUAAAUGAAGACUUGUAUGAAAGAUUUGAUGAGAUAUAAGCUGUCUCUUAAUUAAUAAUAAAAUUUUAUUUUUUAGUAAAAAAGCUAAAAUUUAAUUAAAAGACGAGAAGACCCUAUAGAGUUUUAUAAUUUUUUUAUUUAAAAUUAAUUAUAAAAUUUAAUAUUAAAAAUAAAAAAAUUAUUAUAUUGGGGUGAUAGAAAAAUUUAAUUAACUUUUUUUAAAGAUUAAACAUUAAUAAGUGAUUAAAUGAUCCAUUAAUAAUGAUUAUAAGAAAAAAUUACCUUAGGGAUAACAGCGUAAUAUUUUUUUUUAGUUCAUAUAAAAAAAAAAGUUUGCGACCUCGAUGUUGGAUUAAGAUAAAAUUUAAAUGCAAAAGUUUAAAAUUUUGAUCUGUUCGAUCAUUAAAAUCUU